UUGGGUUGGCCAAAAAGUUUGUGUGGGUUUUUCUAUAAGAUGUUAUGGAAUAGCCCAGAUACACUUUUGGGCCAACCCAAU
rnacentral:miRNA from 1 species